rnacentral:rRNA from 1 species
UGAGUAACCUGCCCUUAACUCUGGGAUAAGCCUGGGAAACUGGGUCUAAUACCGGAUAUGACUCCUCAUCGCAUGGUGGGGGGUGGAAAGCUUUAUUGUGGUUUUUGGAUGGACUCGCGGCCUAUCAGCUUGUUGGUGAGGUAAUGGCUCACCAAGGCGACGACGGGUAGCCGGUCUGAGAGGGUGACCGGCCACACGUGGGACUGAGACACGGCCCAGACCUCCGUACGGGAGCAG